rnacentral:rRNA from 1 species
CAGUCGCCACGGGAAUACGUAGGGGGCAAGCGUUGUCCGGAAUUAUUGGGCGUAAAGCGCGCGCAGGCGGUCAUGUAAGUCUGGUGUUUAAUCCCGGGGCUCAACCCCGGAUCGCACUGGAAACUGGGUGACUUGAGUGCAGAAGAGGAGAGUGGAAUUCCACGUGUAGCGGUGAAAUGCGUAGAGAUGUGGAGGAACACCAGUGGCGAAGGCGACUCUCUGGGCUGUAACUGACGCUGAGGCGCGAAAGCGUGGGGAGCAAACAGGAUUAGAUACCCGCGUAGUCCCUGUCUCUUAUACC